UAAGUGUUUGGCAAAUGGGCCCAACUGGGAUUCCAGGCUUCUGGAAAUGCAAAGCAACAGCCCCAGAGAGUUAGCUUGGGAGAAAUCGCCACAGCUCCCGAUUUCCGAAGGAGGUGGCAUUGUGGAUUCUAGACCCUGCCGUGUCAGCUGGCAGAAUGCACUAGCAUUCAGGAUUCUUCUGUCAGGUGUGUGGGCCAUGAAUCAUGAGUGAAAGGCUCUGAGGUCACAUGUGUGGGCAUGAGGUCAGAGCUGGGCUUGUGAUAAAGUGACAGUGAGCCAGCAGCAGAUCGGAUGGAUUCUCAGAAUGAGUGAUGGCUGAUUUCAUAGAAGUGGAGGGACGGAAGGGAGCUUCAGCCGGGUCCAGUCUGGGUCUCAGGCAAGAUGCUCCACCAGGCAAAUUUUAUUGCAAGUUCUAUAAGUCAGGAACUCUGACAGUCUGUCAUCUGAGAAAGCCCCAGCACAUUGAGACAAGAGCCACACUCUGCCCUGUCAGCCAGGUGAAACUGCAGGAGUGAGAGACUGCCUAUCCAGCCCGGGCUGUGCCCUGCCUGCUUCUCAUGCUGUUUGCCUACACACACACAAGUGUCUCUACAUAUGAAUUGCAGGCAGGCUGGGGACUCUUUCUAUUCCAGAGCUGCCUUUGAAAGCAGUGAGGUUACAGCAUAGAGGCUGGAUUCAAACCGGAGCAGGAACACUCACGAAGAUGUAUGUUGCCGCUGCCACUCAGCAGCUUUGUGCCCGAAAUAUUCUAUUGGAAAAUGGGUAAUUUAGAUAGCAGUCAUUGGAGUAGGUCGAAGGUUUUAGCAAUGGAAUUGUUUUACAUUUAAAUGCUUCUAAACAAGUCCCACUCUUUUACCUGUAGUCUAUAACUACAGCCAUUCAGGGGAGCUCCUGGGAAUAAACACCCUUGGAGAUCAAAUCCCAGUGUCCCUGGUGAUCCCAGAGCAGCUUGUUCUUCAAGGAGUCAUUAUGAUGUGGUGAAUGCAGGGCUCUGAGCUGGAGGUUGGGAUCCUGGGAUCCAGAUUUCUGGUUCUGCCAUGCACCUGCCAGGUGACUCUGUGAGGGCUGGCGCUUCCUUGUGCCCAGGAGGAGGGCGGCUGGGUCGUCCCCAGAGUAGCUCCCACUUCCAACAUUCUAGGAGACUGAGUUAGCUUGGCAGGUCAUUCAGAAAUCAGGAAACAAUGCGAUGACAGUUGAAAUUAGUAUAUCCUUGGUAACCGUAAGCAGGGGGUCACAGACAUUUGGCACUGGAUCGUGAAAUCCCAGAACCAUGCAAUUCCACUCAAGGGCAAAGUCCCUAGCACCACUCAAU